rnacentral:rRNA from 1 species
GAGUUUGAUCCUGGUUCAGAUUGAACGCUAGCGGGAUGCUUUACACAUGCAAGUCGAACGGCAGCACGAGAGAGCUUGCUCUCUUGGUGGCGAGUGGCGGACGGGUGAGUAAUAUAUCGGAACGUGCCCAGUAGCGGGGGAUAACUACUCGAAAGAGUGGCUAAUACCGCAUACGCCCUACGGGGGAAAGGGGGGGAUUCUUCGGAACCUCUCACUAUUGGAGCGGCCGAUAUCGGAUUAGCUAGUUGGUGGGGUAGAGGCUCACCAAGGCAACGAUCCGUAGCUGGUUUGAGAGGACGACCAGCCACACUGGGACUGAGACACGGCCCAGACUCCUACGGGAGGCAGCAGUGGGGAAUUUUGGACAAUGGGGGAAACCCUGAUCCAGCCAUCCCGCGUGUAUGAUGAAGGCCUUCGGGUUGUAAAGUACUUUUGGCAGAGAAGAAAAGGUACCUCCUAAUACGAGGUACUGCUGACGGUAUCUGCAGAAUAAGCACCGGCUAACUACGUGCCAGCAGCCGCGGUAAUAC